CGUUCUCUUGGAUGGUUGGCAUCUCCCACACUUCUGAAUGUGUUAAUCCUUGUUUAACCUCGGGAAGGCAGAGUCUCCUGACUGUGGCCACCAUUUCUGGUACAGUAGUGUCCCCUGUCUAUGUACUGACAGCCCAUGGCAUACUAUACUGAAAUGACCUCUUUGGCCGUCUGGUCCACAUGCUCACUUGUGGGUCCUAUGGUGCUGUCUUAGUCUAACUUCCCUUGACCGCUUCUACUUCAAGAUAAACACACUUUCUCAAUUAUCUGCUUCAAUACCCAGUAUCCCGGAAGGAAGGAAUAUCAACCAUUCAGCAACAGAUUCCAAGAUUAAGUGCAUGAGCAAGAGUUUGAUCAAGUCUCCAUGGUGACGUGCUACAAAGAAGACACUGUUGGAUAAGAUCAAAUGGGAAUAGAAUUGCAAAGCAGGCACAGUUCCAGAAGCUUCCUUGUCUUUUGGAUGAUAAGAGAGAGAUGAUUUGAAAAAUCAAAUAGCCAAGUCUUUGAAGUUUUAGGAUUUCAGUUGGCUCACGCGCCAUGCUUUCUCGUGGCUAUGAGGAGUUCAAGCUGUUUGAGGUAGGAAGGGAGAGAAGAUUGAAGAAGGAAGCGUUUGGGAAAGAGGAGGUCCAAGCAGAUGCUGAGAGAUAUGGAGGCCAGGCUUUCACCCAGCACUGUGCGAAGACGCAGGGCUGCAGACAGAAUAUCCAGCAAGUUGUCUGCCUUCCAAGAGCUUACAAUAAAAUCAAACAGAUGAG
rnacentral:lncRNA from 1 species